UACGUAGGGGGCAAGCGUUGUCCGGAUUCAUUGGGCGUAAAGAGCUUGUAGGCGGUUUGUCGCGUCUGCUGUGAAAACUCGAGGCUCAACCUCGAGACGUCGGCGGAAACCAUCUGGCUAGAGUCCGGAAGAGGAGAGUGGAAUUCCUGGUGUAGCGGUGAAAUGCUUAGAUAUGACAUAGAACACCAAUUGCGAAGGCAGCUCACUACGCGAAUAUUGACACUGAGGCACGAAAGCGUGGGGAUCAAACCAGG
rnacentral:rRNA from 1 species